CAAAAGUUUUCCGUUUUAUCCAUACAAUAGAAAAAUUAGUUUUACAUAAUUUGAAUGUGUGCUCACAUGAGCUUGUAAACUUCUCUCAUGUGUCCACACAAGGGCGGAGGGAAGAUUCUUUCUGUGAAGAAACCUAUUUUGUAUGAAGUUGUAGUUGAUUUUAUCGGACUGGGAAGUGAUGGAUGCACCAAGGACACAACAGUGAAGAUGUUUUUGAAUUUCGUGCUGUAGCUAAAUGAACGAUUAUUAGAUAUUGGAGUUGAGUCAAAGCACGGUUUUGAACGAUUAUCAGUGAUUGUCCUAGAUCAAUGGGUGAUUUAUGUGCAAAUGCUACAGUCGAAGACAUGCAGUUGCUUGCCGUCGAUGAAGCGACAUCAACAUGGGUAGCUGAUCCAGUCAUCUGUUAGUCUGUUCGUCUUUCUUCCUUGCACUUUGUUCUUCAGUCAUGUGUUGGGCAUCCUUCCCCAUGCUACUGACUCUAUGGUGUCGCUGGCCCAUGCUUCUGACUCUCCAGACAUAUACUCACUUCUUAGAAAUCCCAUGGCAAUUGCUUUCAUGUGAAUUUUGGUUAGUACUCCGUAUUUAUGAUGCUGCUGGCCUCAUUGCUCUGAAUAUACUACCACACUGCAUGAUAAAAUCAACAAUGACUUUUCUUAAUGCAUGUAAAUUAUCGCUUCUCUGUAAUGUUUGAUGUCAAUUUAUUCCAUGACAA